CUGCAUAAUGACAUCGGCAUCCCAGCACGAGCAUAACCUCAACCUACACUAGUCUGGGUAUCCACUGCAUACUAACGGCGGCGAUACAAAAGAAUCACAGCUUCUAAAGCUAAAUCUGAUAACUUUCAGAAAUGACAGUGCAAGGUUCAAUAGUUUUCUCCUAUGUCAAUUCUAAGUCAAACAUGUAAAAUUAUAAUUCUAACUUAACUCCAAAUUCAGAUUUUAUACUCUAAUCCAUGACUUUGAGUACUAUCAGGGAAAUAAACCACUGAUACAUGUCGACGAUGCUGAGCUUAGGAGGAGUUUCGACGAUUUCGAUAAACAUUAAUCCACCUCGAAAAGCUCGUCCAACUACGGCGAGAAGUCGAAAGAAGGAAAACACGCGCUCGCCCGGCCUCCCACGGCGCAACCGCGACGUACGUACGCUCGAACAGCCCUCCAGAUCGACAUCCAAAAUCACACGAGCUUGAGCCACGACCUCCACCUCGAACACGAUCAAGAACUAGAGAGAGAGAGCAGCAAUCCAAAAACCUCUUUCUUUGUCUCUCUAGACAUAAAUAAAGAGGUGGGGAUAAGAUAGAUAUUAACGCCACUUCAAAUAACCAAAAAGCUCCUCACUAACUCAAAAUUACAGCUGGAGUAUCGGUACCUGAUUUGGUUAUCGGUACUCGGGCCUCUCAGCCCGCCAGUUCGCACAUAGUGUAUCGGUACCAGCCCGAUGCUGUACGGUACUCAGCAUGAGUUGGUGCAACCCGAGAGCAUUUUGUUAUGAAAUUACACUGGGGUAUCGGUACUCCUUUGCCCGGUACCGGUACUCAACACUAAAAAUCUGCACCUUGUAGAUUUCAGCGUCAGAACUCCACUCUUGCCUCGCGUCGAGUCCGUUUUGCGUUCAUUUCGCGCAAAAACUACAUCGACUUGUCCUGACACCCUCCAUAUGUGUCGACAAGCCUCAUUAGAUGCUGAGAUCUCACAGGCAACCCAAAAACCAGGGAUGCUACAACUAUAUACCCAUUUUACUCUUAUCACAAUUGCUUUUAUAAAAUUUUCAAAAAAAAAAAAAAAUUAUUCAAUGCCCUUCUAAAAGUUUAUAUUUUCACUAAUAUCCCUAUACAAAUUGAAAUAUUAUAAAU
rnacentral:lncRNA from 1 species